UUUGAAUCCGAAGUCCUAAUCCAAUUAGGAUUUCUAGGAAUCCUACUCUAAGUAGGAAUCCAAUUUUAAUUCAAAAUUCCUAAUCUCAUUAGGAUUGUAGGAAUCCUAUUCCAAGUAGGAAUUCCAGUCCUACUCCAACUAGGAUUCCCAGUCCUAAUCCAAUUAGGACUCUAGGAAUCCUACCCGAAGUAGGACUCUUGUUUCAAGUCCAAUUAAUUAAUUCCUUUGUUCCUUCUUCAACUUCUUAUCAAUCAAAUUGAUUACUUGUGAUUCCUAAUCACGAUUUCAACCAUCGGAUCGGUCAAUACUUCUAGUGUGUGUGACCCCAUAGGUUCUAUUCUGACUGGUAGUGAGAUAUAUUGUGAUCUCUAUCUCAAUAUCAU
rnacentral:lncRNA from 1 species